rnacentral:rRNA from 1 species
CCCGCUGAACUUAAGCAUAUCAAUAAGCGGAGGAAAAGAAACUAACAAGGAUUCCCCUAGUAACUGCGAGUGAAGCGGGAAAAGCUCAAAUUUAAAAUCUGGCGGUCUUGCGGCCGUCCGAGUUGUAAUCUAGAGAAGUGUUGCUCACACUGGACCAUGUAUAAGUCUUCUGGAAUGAAGCGUCAUAGAGGGUGAGAAUCCCGUCUUUGACAUGGACUCCCCAGUGUAUUUGUAGUAUGCUCUCAAAGAGUCGAGUUGUUUGGGAAUGCAGCUCUAAAUGGGUGGUAACCUCCAUCUAAAGCUAAAUACUGGCGAGAGACCGAUAGUGAACAAGUACCGUGAGGGAAAGAUGAAAAGAACUUUGGAAAGAGAGUUAAAAAGUACGUGAAAUUGUUGAAAGGGAAACGCUUGAAGUCAGUCACAUUGGCCAGGGAUCAACUUGCUUAAGUGUACUUCCUGGUUGAUGGGCCAACAUCAGCUUUGACUGUCAGAGAAGGGUAGGGGGAAUGUGGCACCCUCCUGGGUGUGUUAUAGCCCUCUGUCAUAUAUGGCCGUUGGGGCUGAGGAAUGCAGCGCGCCACAAGGCCGGGUUUCGACCACGUUCGCGCUUAGGAUGUUGGCAUAAUGGCUUUAAUCGACCCGUCUUGAAACACGG